CCUACGGGUGGCAGCAGUGAGGAAUAUUGGUCAAUGGUCGAGAGCCUGAACCAGCCAUGUAGCGUGAAGGAUGACUGCCCUAUGGGUUGUAAGCUUCUUUUAUAUGGGAAUAAAACAGGGAAUUAAUACCUUUUUGUAUGUACCAUAUGAAUAAGGGACGGCUAACUCCGUGCCAGCAGCCGCGGUAAUACGGAGGAGCCGAGCGUUAUCCGGAUUUAAUGGGUGUAAAGGGAGCGUAGAUGGGUUGUUAAGUCAGUUGUGAAAGCUUGCGGCUCAACCGUAAAAUUGCAAUUGAUACUGGCAGUCUUGAGUACAGUUGAGGUAGGCGGAAUUCGUGGUGUAGCGGUGAAAUGCGUAGAGAUCACGAAGAACUCCGAUUGCGAAGGCAGCUUACUAAACUGCCACUGACAUUGAUGCUCGAAAGUGUGGGUAUCAAACAGGAUUAGAUACCCUUGUAGUC
rnacentral:rRNA from 1 species